rnacentral:rRNA from 1 species
GAUUUCUGGCUUGAAACAUUUUGCCGGCCACGGUUUCGUGUGUUAGUGCUUGAUGUUCUGGCCAUCCUUCCAAUCGCUAUUCAUUCUUCUUCAUUGAGGGGUGAGUGGUAUUGGAUCUUUUACUUUGAAAAAAUUAGAGUGUUUCAAGCAGGCUUUAUGCUGUGAAUACAUUAGCAUGGAAUAAUAAUUUAGGACUUCGGUUCUAUUUUGUUGGUUUCUAGGACUGAAGUAAUGAUUGAUAGGGACAGUUGGGGAUGCUGAAAUUCAUUGGCCAGAGGUGAAAUUCUUGGAUUCAAUGAAGUUCAACUCAUGCGAAAGCAUU